rnacentral:rRNA from 1 species
GAGUUUGAUUAUGGCUCAGGAUGAACGCUAGCGGCAGGCCUAACACAUGCAAGUCGAGGGGUAGAGUGCUUCGGCGCUUGAGACCGGCGUACGGGUGCGUAACGCGUGUACAAUCUACCUUUUGCUAAGGGAUAGCCCGAAGAAAUUUGGAUUAAUACCUUAUAGUAUUAUUUGGUGGCAUCAUUAAAUAAUUAAAGCUACGGUGGCAAAAGAUGAGUACGCGUCCCAUUAGCUAGUUGGAGUGGUAACGGCACACCAAGGCUACGAUGGGUAGGGGUUCUGAGAGGGAUGUCCCCCACACUGGUACUGAGACACGGACCAGACUCCUACGGGAGGCAGCAGUGAGGAAUAUUGGACAAUGGUCGGAAGACUGAUCCAGCCAUGCCGCGUGCAGGAUGACGGCCUUAUGGGUUGUAAACUGCUUUUGUAUGGGAAGAAUAAGGUCUACGUGUAGAUUGAU